AGAAUUGACUCUAGAAUGCAGCAAACCAUGAGGUGGCAGUUCCAAGUUCACUGAAGCAGUGAGCUCCCUCCCUGGUCACAAGAUGGCUGCAGCAGUUCCAGCUAUCACAAUCUCACACCAAUGUCCAGGCUAUGCUGCCUCUCCAGGUGAGAGGACUUGGGAAUCUGUAGAGAAAGGAGCCUUUGCAGGUGUGGUGCUGAAGAACCAUUCACCAGAUCUGGAAACACUUUGUCCCUGGAGUAGACUUCCAGCCAAAUGAGGAUCUCCAUAGGAAUGGAAGAAAUCACACUCUCUGCU